rnacentral:rRNA from 1 species
UAAUACGUAGGAGGCGAGCGUUAUCCGGAUUUACUGGGCGUAAAGAGGGCGUAGGCAGUUUUUCAAGUCGAUUGUAAAAUCUCCCGGCUUAACUGGGAGGAGCCAGUCGAUACUGUUAGACUAGAGAGCAGCAGGGGGAGGUGGAAUUCCCGGUGUAGUGGUGAAAUGUGUAGAUAUCGGGAGGAACACCAGUGGCGAAGGCGGCCUCCUAGGCUGUUUCUGACGCUGAGGUCCGAAAGCGUGGGGAGCAAACAGGAUUAGAUACCCUGGUAGUCCACGCUGUAAACAAUGGACACUAGGUAUAGGGAGUAUCGACCCUCUCUGUGCCGAAGCUAACGCAUUAAGUGUCCCGCCUGGGGAGUACGGCCGCAAGGCUA